CACGUAGGGCGCAAGCGUUGUCCGGAAUUAUUGGGCGUAAAGAGCUCGUAGGUGGUUUGUUACGUCCGCUGUGAAAUCCUAGGGCUUAACCCUGGGCUUGCAGUGGAUACGGGCAGACUAGAGGUAGGUAGGGGAGAAUGGAAUUCCUGGUGUAGCGGUGAAAUACGUAGAGAUUGGGAAGAACACCAGUGGCGAAGGCGGCUAUCUGGACGGUUACUGACGCUAAGACGCGAAAGCGUGGGGAGCAAACAGG
rnacentral:rRNA from 1 species